rnacentral:lncRNA from 1 species
AAUACAUAGGUCAUUUAUUAUCAAAGGAAAAAUGUUAUCCAAAGUAAGCAAUUGUAAUACUGUAUGAAAAUAUUUUUAUAUACAGAUAUUGUGUCAAAAUUAAAUAUACACAUUCCAUUAAUUAAAAGGCCAACAUAUAUUAUUCUCUUAAAAAUAUACUUCCCAAAUUGCAAACUCAUGUAGACAAAUUUUAUUACACAUAAAUGACAAAAGUAACCCAGUGCUAUGGUUUAGCAUCCUUAGAGCAGGUGACUUUCUGUUUUGUGAAACUAUUCUUUACUUUAAUUUUAAAACAUCUGUAAUAUCGUUUAUCAAAGGCACUGUAUUAUACAUUCAUGUUUAACUACAUCUCUUAAUAUCUUUCAGUUACCUUGGACUCCUUUAUGCUACUGC